UCCCUCACACUACCUAAUGGUAGGGUCAGCCCUGAUUUCAUCCUUAAACACAAAGAACGCAAUGGUUCCCCAGUGAGGAUGCCAUCUUGCACAGCCAAAUCCCACUGAUUUCAAAGGUUGACUUAUUUCAGCUUGUUGAUUUAAAUAAACACAGCCUUGGUUUCUAAGAGACAGUUUUUUGGGAGUUGUAAGUGGGAUAUAGGAACGGCUUCAAAGGGACAAUGAAUGGAGCUUGAUUUGUUAUUGGACAACGUUUAGAUAUAACUAGCUGUUGCCUCAGAAUGGUGGCACCAAUAAGGCAAGGCAGAGAGCUUUCACACAGAUGCACACACAAUCCUGAACUGGAAAAAAAAUGACCAGACAAAUAUAGUGAGUCACAAUGGAAACAUGGCAUGUGAAUGUGACAGGUACUUAGACAAAUAGAUUGUUAACACCCAGACAGACAGAGCUGAUAAGCCUCUUCAGCCAACUGGACGCUUCUUUAUCCUGCUAAGGAAGAGGAGGAAAAACUUAGGAUGAUGAGCAAAAGUAGACCUGCCUCAAGACACCAAAAUGUUCUGGGCCAGCCAUAGGCCCAAGGCUCUCUUACUUCAAUUGUAAAUUGAAAGGAAUAAAAGAAGUUGAAGCAACA